GUUAAAAGGGCCUUAGGUGAUUCUAAUGUGCAACCAAGACUGGGAGUCGUGGUGCAGGUCUAAAUCAUAUUGGAUACAAAUCAAAUCUGAAGAAAGACUUGGAAUAAGUCCAUCACCCCCAACUAAAUUUUAUCCAGGUGCAAAGUAGACCAGGUGGGAAUAAAAGAAACUAAAUCUUGUCUACAACUGAAAGAACAGAGUAUUAUUGAUAACGAAACUGGGACUUAAAAAGAUGAAGUGAUAUGACAAGGACCACAAAAUAAC